rnacentral:lncRNA from 11 species
CUUAUAUCGUUAGCAGUCCUGUUUUGUGUUCUGCCUUCCCAUCACACUUACAUGUGGAAAGUUAAGAGCUGGCAAUACAUUCAUCUUAUAUUCAUCACAAAGGACACUUCAACCAUGGAGGGCUAUGCAUGACGAACAGAAGUAGUGGAACUCAUGUGAUGAGCUCCAUGCCUCUCCAUGCUUGAAAAGAGGCUGAAGUGUCCUACGACUGGGAAAUUUUUCAAUGUGAU